UGGGAGGUGGAAGGGGGGUCCUCUCUACACAGCAGUCAGGACCCCAGAUGGUAAAGCCCUUCACGCCGUUUGCUGGGCUCCUACCUGAGCAAGCUCAGAGGCACAUGAGAAGGGGAGGCAGCUGCCUGGAGACCCUCUCUCCCCCAGGCCCACCUGUCUGCAACCCAGCUGAGGCCAUGCCCUCCCCAGGGACCGUCUGCAGCCUCCUGCUCCUCGGCAUGCUCUGGCUGGACUUGGCCAUGGCAGGCUCCAGCUUCCUGAGCCCUGAACACCAGAGAGUCCAGCAGAGAAAGGAGUCGAAGAAGCCACCAGCCAAGCUGCAGCCCCGAGCUCUAGCAGGCUGGCUCCGCCCGGAAGAUGGAGGUCAAGCAGAAGGGGCAGAGGAUGAACUGGAAAUCCGGUUCAACGCCCCCUUUGAUGUUGGAAUCAAGCUGUCAGGGGUUCAGUACCAGCAGCACAGCCAGGCCCUGGGGAAGUUUCUUCAGGACAUCCUCUGGGAAGAGGCCAAAGAGGCCCCAGCUGACAAGUGAUCGCCCACAAGCCUUACUCACCUCUCUCUAAGUUUAGAAGCGCUCAUCUGGCUUUUCGCUUGCUUCUGCAGCAACUCCCACGACUGCUGUACAAGCUCAGGAGGCGAAUAAAUGUUCAAACUGUA
rnacentral:sRNA from 1 species